rnacentral:lncRNA from 1 species
UGAGAGAGUUACCGAAAAUGGGAUUUUCGGUGAAAUAUAAAUAUGUAUUUAUGAGAGAGUAUGUAUAGAAAAUGCUAGCUAGCCAUAUGUGUCUAUCCACCUUAAUGGCGUAGCAUAUAGCCGCAUUAUGGUGUGACGUGAGCGUUGGACGUAAGCGUAGUAGCCCUAUAUGAGUGUUUAAUUCAUAUAGGGGGUAUGGGCACAUAUUUAUACACCCGUCUGUCCACCUUGAUGGCGUAGUGUAGCACCGCAUUAAGGCGUGACGUGAGCGUUGGACGCGAGCGUAGUAGCCCUAUAUAGACCCAUGAAUUUAUAUAGGGAGUAUGGACGAGUGUAAAUACAUACAUAUAUUAUAGAGUCUGAGAGGCUCGAUAUUUUAUGGGAUAAAGGUUUUAUCGCUUGCGGCAUGCAUUCGAUUUUUCCUUAGAAAUUAAUUUGGGGAAACAUACAUAUUUUAUUUAUUAAUUUAUUUUUGUGUCCACUCACUCUAACGUUAUUAAAUGUUUUCCCCUGGGCCCUUCGUUUUAAAUUGCCCAGUCUGCAGAGUUCGGGUUGGAUCUAGUAGGAGACGAGGCAUAGUCACCCGCUUUUCGGCCAGUUUUCAUCAGUAGGUUACCUGUUCAACCUACUCGUGUUUUCUUGCUUCCGCUUGUGUUUAGUAGCUCUGAAUACUUUAGAAUUUUUGUAUAUUAUGUGAUGUUCGGAAGUGUUGAAUUAAGAGUGUAAGAUGAAAUUUUCCAGUUAGGGUUGUCUAUCUGCAAGGGAGAUUUGCUUAAUCUUUUCAGUAAAUUUUCCUUGGAGGUGGUCCCCGCACGACUUACUCUGGGUUUCAGGGUGAAAUUCGGGGUGGGUCGUGUCAAUAAUAGUUAAACUUUGGCUAGUCUGCUGGAGCUCCUAAAAUACCCAAAAAACUAAACACUUUCUCUAAGAGCAUUUUUAGCAGACUCUCUAUUUUGGAUGCUUAGCUAUUUUAGAGAGCGUGUUUAGCUUUUUUGGAUGUUUUAGGAGCCCCAGCAGACUAGCCAAAGUUGAGCUAUUAUGACUUUUAGCUAUCUCACUAGGUAAAUAUAAAGAUCUUAGAGCAUCUUUAGCAAUGUUAGCCAUUUUUAAGUUAAAUUUUAGUCAAAUUAUCUAAAAUGUCAUUUUGGCUAGCCACUUUAGAAAUGCGAUUGCAUCAAUGCUCUUUAUUUUAGCUAACAUUACAUCAACAUUAUUCUUAAAAUAAAGAUUAAGUAGUUUAAAUAUAUUUAUAUAUCACGUAAAAUAUCUUAUAAGGAAUGUAUUAAAUUAUAGCUAGCGAGCUAGCCUCAUCUGAGUCAUCUCGCUAGCUAUAUUUAGCUAGGGAGAUAGCUAAAAGUCAUAAAAGCAACUUUAGCAGACUCUCUAUUUUAGCUUUUAGCUAUUUUAGAGAGCGUGUUUAGCUUUUUUUGAUAUUUUUGGAGCUCCAGCAGACUAACCAAAGUUUAGCUAUUAUAACUUUUAGUUAUCUCGCUGGCUAAAUAUAGAGAACGAGAUGACUCAUACGAGACUAGCUAUAAUUUUAUACAUUCCUUAUAAAAUAUUUUAUGUUAUAUAUAAAUAUAUUUAAACUAUUUAAUCUUUAUUUGAAGAAUAAUGUUGAUGUAUUGCUAGCUAAAAUAGAGAGCAUUAAUGCAGCCAUAUUUCUAAAGUGGCUAGCCAAAAUGACAUUUUAGCUAAUUUGACAAAAAUUUA